rnacentral:rRNA from 1 species
AUUGAACGCUGGCGGCAGGCUUAACACAUGCAAGUCGAGCGGGGUGAUGGUGCUUGCACUAUCACUUAGCGGCGGACGGGCGAGUAAUGCUUAGGAAUCUGCCUAUUAGUGGGGGACAACAUCUCGAAAGGGAUGCUAAUACCGCAUACGUCCUACGGGAGAAAGCAGGGGCUCACUUGUGACCUUGCGUUAAUAGAUGAGCCUAAGUCGGAUUAGCUAGUUGGUGGGGUAAAGGCCUACCAAGGCGACGAUCUGUAGCGGGUCUGAGAGGAUGAUCCGCCACACUGGGACUGAGACACGGCCCAGACUCCUACGGGAGGCAGCAGUGGGGAAUAUUGGACAAUGGGGGGAACCCUGAUCCAGCCAUGCCGCGUGUGUGAAGAAGGCCUUAUGGUUGUAAAGCACUUUAAGCGAGGAGGAGGCUCUUUUGGUUAAUACCCAAGAUGAGUGGACGUUACUCGCAGAAUAAGCACCGGCUAACUCUGUGCCAGCAGCCGCGGUAA